rnacentral:rRNA from 1 species
CUAAUACCGGAUACUACCCUCGGCGGCAUCGCCAGGGGGUGGAGAAGAAUUUCGGUCAAGGAUGGACUCGCGGCCUAUCAGCUAGUUGGUGAGGUAACGGCUCACCAUGGCUACUACGGGUAGCCGGCCUGAGAGGGUGACCGGCCACACUGGGACUGAGACACGGCCCAGACUCCUACGGGAGGCAGCAGUGGGGAAUAUUGCACAAUGGGCGCGAGCCUGAUGCUCCAACGCCGCGUGAGGGAUGACCGCCUUCAGGUUGUAAACCUCUUUUAGUAGGGAAGAAGCGAUUGUGACGGUACCUGCAGAAAAAGCACCGGCUAACUACGUGCCAGCAGCCGCGGUAAUACGUAGGGUGCAAGCGUUGUCCAGAAUUAUUGUGCGUAUAGAGCUCGUAUGCGGUUUGUCGCGUCUGCUGUGAAAUCCCGAGGCUCAACCUCGGGCCUGCAGUGGGUACGGGCAACCUAGAGUGUGGUAGGGGAGAUUGGAACUCCUGGUGU